UAAGGAUGGCUGGCGCGAAACAGACGUUCCGAAGCUUUGCGAGAUCCCGAAGCAAAGAUGAUUCGAAACACUGAUCCGAAGCGUGAUUCAAAACACCCACGUCACGUGACAACGGCUAAAUGAAGCGUCUAAGUGUUUCAUCAGCUCGCCUACUGCAACAAUACAUCAUCCAUGAUGCGCCAUUUGAGGAGCAUUCAUCCUGCCAUUCUGCAGGGUGCAGAGGAUGGUAGUGUUCCCCCUGUACCAAGGCCUGCUACUGACACUGCUGGACCCAAGGUUUAAAAAUGUGGCUUUUGGAAAUCCUGCCAAAGCCCUGGAUGCUGAAAAGCACAUCACACUGGAGUGUGCUUCACUGAUGCGUUCAAACACAACUCCUGAACCACAAAUGUCAACAUCAGGCCCAUCAUCAACACCAGUUGAAACACAAGACAGUUUAUGGGAACAUUUUGACAAUCGUAUCCGUGAGACCCAGAUGAUACACAAUCCUACAGCUGAUGCCACAGUGGAAGUGAAAAAAUACCUCAGCGAUGCGUUUUUGCCCAGAACUCAUGAUCCUCUAACUUACUGGAAAGAGAGAGCAGUAAUCUUUCCUCAUUUGUAUGUCCUAGCUAAAAAAUAUCUUUGUAUGCCAGCAACAAGUGUCCCUUGUGAGAAUUUUUUCAAAGGCUGGAGAAAUUAUCUGUAAAAAAAGAAGUAGGCUGAGUCCUUCAACAGCAGAGAAAUUAAUAUAUUUGAAUAAAAAUCUAUAAGAAAGGGA